AACGUGUUGGCUAAAUAGGUAAAGCUCUGUGCUACGGACACAAAGAUUGUAAGUUCAAAUCUUAUACACGUUU
rnacentral:tRNA from 1 species